CCGGUGGCCCCUUCUCGGCCACCCCGGACGAGUUCGUCGUACCCGGUGAGGACAAGACGACGGGUU
rnacentral:ncRNA from 1 species